rnacentral:misc_RNA from 1 species
GUCAUGGAGAAGGGUUUGUCAAAGUGGAACAUGUUAAGGUUCCUGACACUUCUGCAGCAGUUUGGGUGGACAUGAGUAUGAGUCAGUCGGAUUGUGAACAGGAAUGCAAGAGAAAUUGCUCGUGUGCUGCAUAUGCAAGCAUACCCAUUGCUGGGAAAGGGAUGGGUUGCUUGGCAUGGUAUGGAGUAUUAAUAGAUACGGCGUGGGGAUGAAAGCAACUAUGAUCUGUAUAUUCGUGUUGAUGCUCUUGAAUUAGCUGAGAUUGCAAGGAAAUCAAAAGGGUUUUUUGAAACAAAGGGGAUGAUAGCCAUUUUGGUACUUUCUUCUGUUUCAGCAUGGUUUGUCAUAUUCAUAUUUGCGUAUUUGUGGUUCAGUAAGGGGAGUAAGAAAAGGACAACGAGAGACAAAAAGAACAAAAGAUCA